rnacentral:rRNA from 1 species
AUUGAACGCUGGCGGCAUGCCUUACACAUGCAAGUCGAACGGCAGCACGGGAGCAAUCCUGGUGGCGAGUGGCGAACGGGUGAGUAAUACAUCGGAACGUGCCCAGUAGUGGGGGAUAACCCGGCGAAAGCCGGACUAAUACCGCAUACGACCUACGGGUGAAAGCGGGGGAUCGCAAGACCUCGCGCUAUCGGAGCGGCCGAUGUCAGAUUAGCUAGUUGGUGGGGUAAAGGCCUACCAAGGCGACGAUCUGUAGCUGGUCUGAGAGGACGACCAGCCACACUGGGACUGAGACACGGCCCAUACGCCUACGAGAGGCAGCAGUGGGGAAUUGUGGACAAUGGGCGCAAGCCUGAUCCAGCCAGGCCGCGUGCGGGAAGAAGGCCUUCGGGGUGGAAACCGGUUUUUUCAGGGAAGAAACGCUCCGGGCUAAUACCACGGAGUAAUGACGGUACCUGAAGAAUAAGCACCGGCUAACUACGUG